AGCACUAUAAGAAGCUGGCGGAGG
rnacentral:piRNA from 1 species